AUUGAACGCUGGCGGCGUGCCUAAUACAUGCAAGUCGAACGCAGUGGGGACGGGUGAGUAACACGUGGGUAACCUCCCAUCAGAGGGGAUAACACUUGGAAACAGGUGCUAAACCGAUACUGAUGGAUGGACCCGCGGUGCAUUUGCUAGCUGGUGAGGUAACGGAUCACCAAGGCCACGAUGCAUAGCCGACCUGAGAGGGGGAUAAGGCACACUGGAAGUGAGACACAGCACAGACGCCUACGGGAGGCAGCAGUAGGGAAUCUUCGGCAAUGGACGAAAGUCUGACCGAGCAACGCAGCAGGAGUGAAGAAGGUUUUCGGAUCGUAAAACUCUGUUGUAAGAGAAGCGGUAUCUAACCAAAAAGCCACGGCUAACGACAGGCCAGCCGCCGCGGUAAUUC
rnacentral:rRNA from 1 species